rnacentral:rRNA from 1 species
UGGGGAAUAUUGCACAAUGGGGGAAACCCUGAUGCAGCAACGCCGCGUGCGGGAUGACGGCCUUCGGGUUGUAAACCGCUUUCAGCCAUGACGAAGCUUUUGUGACGGUAGUGGCAGAAGAAGCACCGGCUAACUACGUGCCAGCAGCCGCGGUGAUACGUUGGGUGCGAGCGUUGUCCGGAAUUAUUUGGCGUAAAGAGCUUGUAGGCGGUUUGUCGCGUCGAAAGUGUCAACUCAGUGCUUAACGCUGAGCCUGCUUUCGAUACGGGCUGACUAGAGGAAGGUAAGGGCGAAUGGAAUUCCCGGUGGAGCGGUGGAAUGCGCAGAUGUCGGGAGGAACACCAGUGGCGAAGGCGGUUCUCUGGACCUUUCCUGACGCUGAGAAGCGAAAGCGUGGGUAGCAAACAGG